rnacentral:misc_RNA from 1 species
UUAUCUAAAGAAAAGUUUAUGUCAUAAUAUAUCCAUUCUUUAGACAAGCACAACAAGAAAAGUACAUAAAAAUCACACUUCAUGGCAAUUUAUCAAUGCAAUCCCAUGCCAAUUUUAGCACAACUAAUCACAGGAUUAUAUUAAACAUAAAGUGCAAUAAUGAAGAACAAACUUAAGAAAAUUUAACAUUACAAACAACAAGCAUUCAAAGCUGAAGUAGAAGAAGAGUAUCGUUGAUCAAUAUGGAUUCCUUCUCCAGACAGAUGGUUUAUCGCUAGAGUGACAAGGGAAAUUGACUAAUUCGGAACAGCCACUAACCUUUGCAUAGCUUAAAAACUUCAUCUGCUCUGUCACCAACUUUCCCCAGUCUGUUUUUAAUUUUGGCAAAUCCUUCAAACAUAAACCCUCGACUUUCCAAGAACUGCCAUUACCCGUGCAGAUAUCAUUCAGCAGGUAUCCCUCUUCCAUACAAAGAUACACCAAAUGAGGCAGACUAUCAGGACUAACCCAUCUUGGCAACCUUUCAUGACAAUAACACCUGAGAUACAGCUGCUCAAGAGUAGAGGGAGGGGAAAGCAAAUCUAGCAUUUCUGGCGAAUUUCUCCCUUCAGACUCUUUAGGGUCAAAAUUAAUGGCUAGAAUCUUGAGUUUAUUAAGUUUUGACAACACUUCAUUUUCCUCUACUGUUAUUUCAAUGUCAUUGCUCAAACUCAUUCGCAGUACUCUUAAUUCGACCAGCUGCCCAAGCUCAAGAAGCGAGCAGCUUCUUCUGUUAGGUUGACGUACCAAUCUCACUCCAGACAGCUCUUGAAGAUGGCAGAGCCUUCCUAGUCCACGAGGCAGAUAUGUGAGCAUUCCACAGGAGUCUACGUCCAAUACUAUCAACUUCAUUAGAUAAGUUAUUGAAGGACUUAGCUUGGACAGGUUGGUGCAUCCUCUUAAAACUAAGAGGUGGAGGUUUCGGAGUUUGCCAAUAGAAUCUGGUACUUCUUCAAGGCGCUCAGCUCCGCUUAGAUUCAGAUAUGCCAGGCGUUUUAGCGAGCUAAUCCAUCUGAAAAGUUUAUUUAAAGCAACCUUGUCUAGCUUAUUGUCAGAAAAGUCCAACGCCCUAAGCGACAGGAGUGAAUACAAGUUCCUUUCGAAAGGAGUUUGACCACUAGUCAUUAGCAACAACGCCCUAAGCUUUGGACAUUUUUCCAAUGAUUUGGCAUCCAUUUCGCUUGUGAAACCCAACCACCGGGAAUGUUUAUCGAAUUUUUGUUUGCCUUCGUCGUCAAAGGAGCAAAGUUUCUCUUCUUUUGCCAUCACAAGGGUAAAAUCUCUCACCAGAUCAUGCAUUUUGCAUUUGUUGACUCUUCCAUCAAAGCCUCGCCUCUCCACAGCUUCAACUAGACAUCUGCUGACCAGUUGCGAUAAAUGCUCAAAGGCCAACUCCGUUGGAUUUUUUGAUUUGAUGCCUUGGAUAAGACCAUCUCCAACCCACCAAUGGACUAGCUUCUGAGCUGGUAUCUCAAAGUCUUCAGGAAAAAUGGAGAAACAUAGUAGACAUUGCCUUAAAUGUGGUGGGAGUGCCUUAUAACUCAGUUGCAAAGAAGUCAUAACGACACAGUUUUCUUCCGUGAUGCUCGGGACUGAAAAUUUUUUGCAAAUUUUCUUCCACUCAUCAAGAGAAUCUGUCGAUCCAAGUGAGGCUCCUAUAGUCUUGAUUGCCAGAGGAUGUCCCUCACAUUUAUCCACGAUUUCCUUACCCAAUUUUUCAAAAUUUUCAAUAGGAACACUGUCCUCUUUUUUCCUGGAAAAUGCAUGCUUGGAGAACAAUAACCAGCUUUCACUUUUAUUAAGAACAUUGGGUUGAUGAAUUUUGUCAACUUCAAUAGCAGAUGCGACAUCUUUGUCUCUGGUCGUGAUAAUAAUGCAACUCCCCUUACAAGCAUAAUCCGGCAAUACAGAGAAAAAAUUCAUCCACCAUUUGAGACCUGUCUCCCACAUAUCAUCCAAAAUAAUCAGACAGGUCUUGGCUCUUAACAGUGAAAUAAUAAUUUGUAGCAUCUGACGAGGUUUUUCUAAUGAUUGCUUUGCAAUUUGUUCUCCUGAUUGUUGCAGGAUGCUCCUCAAGAUCUCCUCCACUAUAAAUCUCUGAGAAAUUGACACCCAAAUCCUCUUCUGGAAAUGCUGACAAACAUCAUUAUCAUUAAAAAUUUCCUUGGCAAUAGUGGUUUUCCCCAAGCCUCCCAUCCCCACAAUGCCAAUCUUUUGAAGCUUGUAAUCGGGGCAAAAAAUCCAAUCUUUUAUCUUCUUAACAUCCAUUUGAAGUCCAACUAUAUCAUCUGACUGGGAUGAUGAGGUUUCAAUAUGCUGGUCCGUGUGAACUUCUUCAUGGGUGCUUCCACCAUGUACUUUCAAAUGCUUGACCAGAGUUUCAUCUAUCUCCUUCAUUCUUAUAAUAAUAUCCCGUAUUUUCUUUCCAGUUUGAAGGCGGAAAAAGAAUUUCUGAGGAAAUGAUUUGGAGAAGGGUUGUCCAUUUUUCUGAUAUUCUUGUCUGAGUCGGUAGUCCGUCAAUAUAUCAUCUGCUUCAUACAUCAGAACUCUGAAUCUAGUCAAGGUUUCCCGGACAAUUUCCAGACUGCGGCCUUCAGUAUCCCCAAGUAAGGCCUCUAUACCAUGAAGAAUCGCCAUCAUCACCUGAAACUCUUCUUCAAACUCACAUCCAUUUUGAGCAUUAAGAGCUGUGGAAAGUUGGUCUAUCAGUGCUGGAAUCAUAGCAUCUACAAGUGCCAUAAUCUUCUGUAUAAACCUGAGAUGGAUGGAUUGGAAAAUCGAGCAAUAUUCAAUCCAGCUGAUGAACAGAAAUUUCACACUAUUCUCAGACUCUCAAAAACCUGACAGAUCAAUUUUGCGUACCCUUUAAUCGAUGAUAACUUCUUUG